CUCUUAUAUCCUGCAUCCUGCUAAUUGCAGGAAGAAGGUUCUACAGUUCACCAUUAAAAGCAGCAAAGAAAUCCUAUCCGUGACAUGAAACACAACGCCCAGCCCAGGACUCAAGGCUGAGGACAAAGAGACAGUAAGCACUUCACAUCCUGCAACGAAAAACCAACCAACAGGUGGGACCAGAGACCUUCUUCAGGGAUUCUAGAUGCUGCUGCUUCCCUCUCGUGGCUCUACAGAAGAUACAUGAUUUCCAGCACAAUGUGACGGAAGUCCCAUUUUUCUCCCUCUGGGCCGUCUGCUGGGGAAGAGAGAACUGAAGUUUCAAGCCGUCCAACCGUC